GUACCAGCUCGCCGCCGUGGUACCCAUCUGAAAAAAAGUGCUGUCUCAGUGAGCACUUCCUGUAAGAUUGCAGUCCGAUCGCCCACACUGCAGACAGCAGCAGGAGGGGAGCAGCGUAGCACUACCCUCCUGCUGGUCACCCAACAAAUGCAGGCCCCGGGCUAGAAGUUAUGGUACAUAAGGGUACUGUUAUAUUCGGCAGACAAUGUUAAAUCAAAAUAAUGAGGCUUUGUUGCGAUAACUCAUCACGUUUAUGAAAUUAUGAAGUGUCCUGUAAAAAUGGAGUUCAUGUUCAUGUUAAAAAAAACACAAACAAAAACGUAAACCACUAAAUGGGGCCUGCAUAAAACCAGUACAUGGGGGGUACUGUUGUAAGCGUUAAACACAGCUGAAUGCAAAUAUGAGUGUUUUUGAGCAGCAAAACAUAUAAUAAUAAUGAUGAUAUAAUCAGUGAAACUGCAGUUUGUGUGUGCAAAAUGCAAAGAAACAAACAUGAACACUAACUUUGGCAAAUUUCAUUGUUUAACUCCUUAAGGACACAGCUUCAAAAGCUUGUCUUACCGUUAAGGACACAAGCUUUUUUAGCAUUUUUUGAUGUUUGUGUUCAAACGCAAUUUGCAUCUGUCAUUUAUUGCACCAACACAUAUUAUAUACUGUUUUUUAGAGGGCAAAAAGGGCUUUAAUUCGAU